UUAUUCCCGCCUGCCCUGUGAUCUAUAUGUUUAACGGCCGCGUGUAUUUUGACCGUGCGAAGGUAGCGCAAUCACUUGUCUUUUAAAUGGGGGCCUGUAUGAAUGGCAUAACGAGGGCUUGACUGUCUCCUCUUUCAAGUCAAUGAAAUUGAUCUCCCCGUGCAGAAGCGGGGWUWAAUACAUAAGRCGAGAAGACCCUGUGGAGCUUUAGRCACUAAAGCAGAUCAUCAUUAACRCCCCCGACAACAGGGCACAAGCUAACCGAACCCUGCCCUAAUGUCUUUGGUUGGGGCGRCCGCGGAGAAAUAAAAACCCCCCGCAAGGACCGAAUGUAUAACAUUCACAACCAAGAGCGACAGCUCUAAUUAACAGARCUUUUGACCAAUAAGAUCCGGCAAUGCCGAUCAAUGAACCGAGUUUCCCCAGGGAUACAGCGCAAUCCCCUCUUAGAGUCCAUAUCGGACGAGGAGGUUUACGACCUCGAUGUUGGAUCAGGACAUCCUAAUGGUCAGCCGCUAUUAAGGAUUCGU
rnacentral:rRNA from 1 species